CUGAGUAAAUUCGGAGACCAUAUAUUCUUGCAGGGAAGGAGCAAAACUCUUUAGAUUGUGUAAAUAUAAUCUUGCAAAUAUAUACUAUCGCCUGUAGGGAAAAAAAAAUCGUGUACGGAAAGCAAAAAACUUAUUUCUCUUCUUUAAUCCUGAAGGAGAAUUAUCAGAGAAAAUCAGUAUAUUUCUAAUGAUGGACCUCAUCAUCCCUCCAAACUUCAGUACUGAGAACCAUAACAGUACAGGCUUCUGGUCUCAGUCUGCUGGAAAAGAGGAUUUCCUAGAGCCAGCAAAUGAUGUCUGAAUGGAUGAAUUUUUAUUUCCAGUGGAAUCCUUCCACAGAGGAUCACGUUCAUGCCCUGCCAUUUUACAUGUUGGACCAAGAUCUCCAGAGUGGCUGGGGAACCUCCAUCCCUGAAGCUUUUAAGAGCAGACUACACAAAGCCCUAAACAACCUGGUCUGAAUUCAGUGUUGACCCUGCUUUAGGCAGGAGUUGGGACCACAAGUUUUGGUGAUUUUACAGUUCUAGCACCUGCCCCAAAAGAAACCCUGCAAAGAUAUCCAGGGGUAUUUCAGGGAUCCUAUAUGGAGUGGCUGCCUGAAUUCCUUCUUUUUAGAGUGCAGUUUUGCUGUUCCUGGCAAGACCGUGCAGUCUACUGUGAAUAAAAAGAUUGCUAUGAAUUAGCAAAUCAAUCAACCAAUUAAUUAAUCAGUUCUGCAGUGAUGAAGAGUAAAAAGAAAGAAAGAUGAGGCAAUUUUUGUGCAAAACAUAUGUGCCAUGUAAAGAGCAAAAAAUAUUUAAUCUUCUUACAGCUACUACCAUUUAUCAGUUUACCUAGUCAUAUAUCCAUGAUUGCAAUGCUUGUAAAAUGGCAGUGCUGUAAAUAGCUGGCCCCAGAGGGCUUUCUAGGCUAGUGAUGCCAAAGAAUUAAUUUGGACUGAGAUAUGAAAUUAAGGUUUUGUUCCAAGGCAAAAGGGGAAUAAAAGAACAUAUUGGUAAAUCUGUGCGAAAGGAACCAGCAUCAGCAAAACUAUCUUCCCUUUUGAAAAACAAAACCAGCUAAAACCCUUUAGUAAUAUCCACUGUUUCCUUGAUACAUAAUACACUGUGCAUAUGGUGAAAUGUCAAAGUGCUCUUCCAGACCCACAAAAGAAACAAAGGUACAGAAAAACCACUUAAUAUAACACUAAUACUUCCAGAGGGGUGGCACUAAUUCUGUCACUCUAUUCAGAGAAAAGUACGAAGCAUUCAGCUACAUUUUCUUUUGAGUUACCAGAUGGUCCUUCUAAGAGAGAAAAAAUAUUGUCUAUGAAUUGAUAGUGUACUUGCUCUAUCUGCUUACCUCUCUGAGAUAAGGUUGCAUGAGAACCUCUAACUGUUAUAAAACACCUGCUCUGAUAAUAAACAAAACAAGUUAGGGACAGAAAGAAAAUAGUCUUGUGAUCAUGUUAGAAGGCUUGUUGAACAUGCUUUAUCUGAAAGCUUGAAAGGCUUCCACAGAUGUAUCAUCUUUGGAAUGUCAGAUCUUCUGACCCCAUCACUACAAAAAAUCAUCUUUAUGCAACCGAUUUAUAAUAGAACAUUUUAUUAAUGAAUACAGACACCAUUUACCUUUCAGUGCCAGGUAUUUUAUUUAUUAAUAGGGAACAUUUUAUUUGCACCCAUAGACUGUACUUAACUCUCAUUUUGCUUAAGCUAAGAAGUGUAGUAUAUUUACAAGCUGGGAAUUCCUGUUUCCAGAGGUCUGAAGUAUAUACCUUGCUCACGUGUCUAUGAACUAAGAUCCAUAAUUCUCAAAUAAAUGCUUCUUUCUUAAAGAUGAUUUUGACACUGCUGAUGAAGAAAUGCUGACCUUCUCAGAACACUCUGAGAAUUGCUGAGUACAUGAAUGUUAAUUUAGACAAAUUCAGAGUGGAAAUUAUUGCCUUCACUGAUUGCCAUGGCAAAACCUCUAUGUUUUUGUGUUUUCAGAUCCAGAAGAUAUGGUUUUCUGCUAAGUACACUUCCAUCAAACAUAAUUUAACUCUGGAUCAUUGAAUGGUAGAACAUUAGAUCAAAUAACAUUUCUGCUCCUUCAGGUCUUGCCUGUGAAGAUGGUAUCUCUCUAACUUUGCUGCAUAUAUUUUACCACUUUGAUGAUAUGGAUUUCAAGUGCACUACAGUCCAGGGAGAACCCUCCAUUGAUUUCUGAAGCUUUUAAAUGAACCUUGAUCAGCUUAUUAGUAAAACAAGACAUGCAUUCCUUAGAAAUAGUGGGGAAAAAAAUUUCACAAGGACUGUUACUAUGACAUUCUUUCUGUGACUUUUGUAGUUCAGUCAUGUACCCCAAUAUCUUACUGCAUGCCAGAGAGCUUUUAGUUUAAUCAACAGUCAUUUCAAGAUGUUUCUGCCUUUUGUCUGUUAACUCUGGUACUGCUUUCCCUGCACUUGGCCCAUGCAGAGGUGCUAGGGCACUUGUUAUGGUGUCUCAGGUGUCCCAGUACCUGAAUUUGCUGCAUUUAAGUCAAGGAAUGCUUGCUGGUAACUGUUACCCAGUUACCUUGAAUUCCAGUUAACUUAACAAAAGCAGAGUACACAAAACUAUUCAUUUGUCAUGUGCAGAAUAAAAUAAAGUUAUAUUUUUUUUAGAAAAGAUGUAAGUGAAGGGAAAGGAAUAUUGUACGUAACUUACACAAAGAUUGUAUCAGAAGGUCUCCUUUUCCAUCACCCUGGCAACAACCUUUGCAUGGCACUCCUGUCUUAGCAAAGGGUCUUACAAGAGCAUCCUAGCCAAAGAUGCUUUUACAACCAAACUCUUUUUUCAGAUUUUCUAGGAGAUCUAAGACCUGUUUAAUCUUUCUUUCUGCAUCUCCCUCUGAAUUCACUCUUUUAUUAGGAGACUGGCUUUUUAUUAGCAUAAGAUUCUUUCCUUUCCAUAUUUAUGUAGAUGUCUGUCUUCCCAGCGUCCCACCCCCAGCACUUGACAAGUUAGUAAACAACUCUGUUUAAAAAAAGUGUAAAACUCCCCCCAUCUGUGGUGUCAAUUUGCCAUUCUUCAGUCUAGCAUGUGGCUGUAUCUAUACAUAUAUACCUGUAACAAUAAUCUGUACAUUAAUAUGAUGCAUAAGUCAAACUACUAAACAGCCUAAUUUAAUACAGUUUAUUAUUUGCACUGACUAGGCCCAUACCUGUUGGCAGACAAACACUUUGUGGUGACAACUGAAUUGGCGUGGUUGAUCCCCAAACUAUUUUCGAAUAACCACUUUUAUUCUACUACAAUGUAAAGACACAUUAAGGAGAAAUAAAGCUGGACCAUGUUCUUUUAAGCACAGUAAUCAACUUAGGUUUUUUACUAAUAUGUUACUAAUGCCUUAAUACAGGCAGACUUUUUAGUUGCAGCCACUGAAAUACAGCAAUUUGUUAUCUGAGAAGGUAAUUAGAAAGUUCGAUUCUUUAGACAUUAUCUGGAGUAAAUAGAUGCACAACAGGAAAGAUCACUAAGGGCCACAUUGCUGUGAAACUAUAUCCUUAUGGAAUAAAGGGUACUUAGUGUCUGUAAAAGUAUCAACAUCUGGUGCACAACAUGAAGUGGAAAAGGUAGAUCAUUUGGCACUGUAUUGUGAACUGCCCUGGCAGCCUUUGGAAAAAUAAUAGAGAUGUUUCUAAAAUGACUUGUGGCAAGGGGCCAAAUGCUGACAUUUUUCACACAGCUGGACCUACCACUUAACCCAAUGAAGUUCUGUAUGAAUUUCAGCACAGGGCAAGAAUCUAUCUGUUUAUUGUAUAUUCAUUUUAAUAAUCUGGUUGACCUUGUACUUUCUAAGCUUUGAAUAAAAUCUAUUCGGUUAUCUGAAAAGCUAAGCUUGCUACAGACACAUUAUGAAGUUUGGUAGUAUUCGAUGCUGUCUUCAUUUUGCUGCAUAUAAUGGUCCUAUUCUUCACCGUUCAUGAAUUAUGUAGGUCAGUACAUACUCAUGCCAGGAAAACCUUUCUGGCACCUCACACAAUCAUGUAUUUUGUAUAUGUAUUGACGUACGUUAUUGUGAUCCUCUCAGAAAUAUUUCAGGGAAAUACUAAAAUGUUAAAAUGACUAUUUUUGUUUGUCUCCAUCUGUAAUGUCAAGUGAAUUAGUUGUCAUGAAUGCAACUGUGCAGAGAUCAAGAAGGAGAAAAAUAAAAAAUGAAGAAAGGUUUAAAAGUAGAUGUUUGGCCAAAAAUAGCUCUGCUAUACAUAAAACAUAACUGGUGUGUUAUGGUUUGAUUUUGCAGGUCUACAGGUUUAUAUACUUGAGGCCAGGGAUAUUGUUCAUUGUAAAGAUAUAAAUGUAAAGUUUCUCAGAAAUUUUCCUGUGCAAUGGUUAAUUAAAUAAAGGAGAUUCACUUAUG